AUGGGGAUUCUUCAUCGUGUAAUGCUUUCCAACCCGGUGGCCCUGCAUAUAGAGCUUGAGCAGCGCCAGCGAGUAGUUUCAGACGAUAGAUGGAAUGCUGAAAAGAAUUGGAAAAUCUUACCACGAAAUGUAUAUAUUCUGCUUAAAGUUGCAAUCUUUCACCAUUCCUUGUUCAUGAUUCGAAUCGAAAACACAGUUGCCACAAAUGAGGGAUGCAAGCCAUCCAACCCAAUGAAUGAACCAAAAAAGAAAAGAAAAGAAACAACAAACAAACAAGUUUCAGCCGGUGAUCAUGGUGCCGGUGCCCUCGUCGGUGAGGAUUUCGAGCAGGAGAGAGUGCGGGACGCGGCCGUCAAUGAUGCUGGCCGUGUGCACGCCCUGCGCCAGUGCGCGCACGCAGCACUCCACCUUGGGUAUCAUGCCCCCACCCACUUUCCCCUCGGCCACCAUCUGCCGUACGCCGGCGAUAUCAAUCUCCUUCACCAGGCUACCGGGGUCAUCCCGGUCCGCGAGUAUGCCGGACACGUCGGUGAUCAGAAGCAGCUUCUCGGCGCCAAUGGCAGCUGCGAUCUCCCCCGCCGCAGUGUCGGCGUUGAUGUUAUAGGCCUGCCCGGUCUCGUCGGCAGCCACGGUGGCGAUGACCGGGAUGUGGCCGGAGGCGAUGAUCGGGUGGAGCACCGAGGGGUCGACGCGCGUGACCUCGCCGACGAACCCAAGGGCUGCCGCGUCGGGGGAAGGGCGCGCAGUGAGGAGGCGCGCGUCCUUGCCGCAGAGGCCGACGGCGGUGGCGCCGGCGAGGCUGAUGAGGGAGACGAGCUGCUUGUUGACCUUGCCGACCAGCACCAUCUCCACGACCUCCAUGGUGAGCGCGUCGGUGACGCGGAGGCCGUUGCGGAACUGCGGCUCGACGCCGACGCGCUGCAGCCAGGAGUUGAUCUCCGGGCCGCCGCCGUGCACGAGCACGGGGCGCAGGCCGACGCAGGAGAGGAGGACCAGGUCGCGGAUCACGGACGCCUGCAGCUCCGGCGACUUCAUGGCCGCGCCGCCGUACUUCACCACCACCGUCUUGCCCUUGAACCGCUGGAUGAAGGGGAGCGCCUCCGACAGGACGUCCACACGGUUCAGCGCCGCGGACGCGGCCUGCGCUGGCGCCAGGGAGGAGGAGGCCGAGACGCGGAGCCCGCGGCGUCCAUGGGGCGCGGACGAGGCGAGGGGCCGGACGCGGGCGGCGUUUAG
rnacentral:rRNA from 1 species